rnacentral:rRNA from 1 species
GAGUUUGAUCCUGGCUCAGGAUGAACGCUGGCGGUUCCUAAUACAUGCAAGUCGAGCGAACAGAUGAGAAGCUUGCUUCUCUGAUGUUAGCGGCGGACGGGUGAGUAACACGUGGGUAACCUACCUAUAAGACUGGGAUAACUCCGGGAAACCGGGGCUAAUACCUGAUAAUAUUUUGAACCGCAUGGUUCAAUAGUGAAAGGCGGCUUCGGCUGUCACUUAUAGAUGGACCCCGCCGUAUUAGCUAGUUGGAAGGAACGGCUUACCAAGGCGACAUACGUACCGACCUGGAGGGUGAUCGGCCCACUGGAACUGAACACGGUCCAGACUCCUACGGGAGGCAGCAGUAAGGAUCUUCCGAAUGGGCGAAAGCCUGACGGACAACGCCGCGUGAGUGAUGAAGGUUUUCGGAUCGUAAACUCUGUUGUAGGGAAGAACAAAUUUGUUAUAACUGAACAAGUCUUGACGGUACCUAACCAGAAAGCCACGGUUAACUACGUGCCACCAGCCGCGGUAAUACGUAGGGGCAAGCGUAUCGGAAUUAUUGGGCGUAAGCGCGCGUAGGCGUUUCUUAAGUCUGAUGUGAAGCCCACGGCUCACCCGGGAGGGUCAUUGAAACUGGGGAACUUGAGGCAGAAAAAGAGAGUGGAAUUCCAUGUGUAGCGGUGGAG